ACUUUUAUGGUGGAAUUGGUAGACACAAUAGACUCAAAAUCUAUUGCUAAACAGCGUGCUGGUUCGAGUCCAGUUAAAAGUA
rnacentral:tRNA from 1 species